CAGUAGCAUUAGGUACAUUCACAUUGUUGUGCAACUAUCACCACCAUCCAUCUCCAGACUGUUUGCAUCUUGCAAAACUGAGACUCCCCUGUACACCUUUAACAACAACCCCCAUUGUCCCCUUCCCUCAGCUCCUGGCAACCACCAUUCUACUUGAUGCCUCUAUGAAUCUGACUACUCUAGGUACCUCAGAUGAGUGGAAUUAUGCAGUAUUUGUCCUUUUGUGUGUACAACUAAUUUGACAGGCAGUAUGAUAAGGAACAAUCUGAAUGACACGUAAACAGGAGGGGGUAAAUUCCAAGCACAGCCUGAAUGAGAAGUACAACUCAUUUCCUGUAACCUAGAUGCCUUUUUAACACAUCUAUGCAGUCUCCAUGUGAAACCAGGUGCUGUUCCCAAAGGAGAAAACACUGCCCUCCAGUGGUCUUCAAUGAAGAAAUGGAAAUAGUUUCAGGUGGAAACCAGGCUUCUUGGAAGACUUCAAACUAUGCCAAAUGGUCUGAUUUCACCAUAGAGAUUCUUUGCUGAAGAAUGCAGCUGUAUUAAAGGAAGAAAGAAAACCAAGCUACAGCUCCUUAUAAUUCAACAAGCAUUUAAAAGAUUUAUAAAGAUGGUGCAAUUAUGUAUUUAAGCUGCUUCAACACAAGUUCUUGCCUUUCACUCCCACCCUGUGGCUUACACUGGUAUUACAUCUAUUCUGACAUUUAAAAAUCAACAUUAAAGAACAUAUUGUAAUAAUGUAUUCUAUGGUUUAAAUAUUUAAAAAAUUUUACAUCAUACCUAGAAAGUGUUGUGUACUUUCUAAAGCUUAUAAACUGAAAAGGAUUUGAAGAAUCCUAAUACAGAAUCAUAAGUUAUAAUUCAUCCAAAAUUGUAUAGUUCUUAAAUUUCAAAUCCAAACCAGUGGAUAUCUGUCUUUAGUGACAUUUAGAUUUUAUUCAAUUAAGGUCAUUGUAGCUAUUAUAAAUGGAAGAUUUUACUUCAUUGUGUCUUAUCACUGAAGUACUUCACUCUUGCUUUUCAAAAGAUUUCUUUCAAUUUCUUCAGAGUCUUAUUUGUUCUCUAAGACAAAGACUUGAUUUCAGUUUGUUUUUCUUAAAAUUAAUAUCUUCUCCAAUUUAUUUCCCAGUUUUUUCUAAAUAAAUACUUUAAAUAUAUAGAGUAUUAUUUUUAUAGUAUCUCAGAAUUAGUAAAAUAAAAUCUUGCCAAUACAAACAAUUUGUGAUUUUAUACAUUAUAUUGUCAGACUGAAG
rnacentral:lncRNA from 10 species